CCCCCGCGCCGGCAGUCCGUACCACAACCCACUCCCAGACAUAGGGAGGACGGCCGUGUGGGAGACGGAAGAGGAGACAGAGGAGGACCGCGAUGAAGGAGGCAAAGAAGAAGAUGAAAAUCCCCUUCACAGCGUGGACUCCCCGCCUCCGCCCACCUACGAGGAGACGCAGCAGGUGUCGCGCUGGGUCGAGGAAAUCAACGCCCAGAACCUGCUCUUCUCAAGGGACGGAGGGAGCGACGUAGCUGACGCCUCGAGGCAGUCAGCUCCGACGUCGGGGAAACGCAGGACGCCAACUCUGAACCAGAAGGCAUCGAAACA